rnacentral:rRNA from 1 species
UACGUAGGGUGCGAGCGUUGUCCGGAAUUACUGGGCGUAAAGGGUGCGUAGGCGGCUUUUUAAGUUUGGUGUGAAAUCUCCCGGCUCAACUGGGAGGGUGCGCCGAAUACUGAGAAGCUAGAGUGUGGGAGAGGAAGGUGGAAUGCUUGGUGUAGAGGUGAAAUUCGUAGAUAUUCGCAAGAACACCAGUGGCGAAGGCGGCUCACUGGCCCGAUACUGACGCUGAGGCACGAAAGCGUGGGGAGCAAACAGG